UACGUAGGGUGCAAGCGUUGUCCGGAAUUAUUGGGCGUAAAGAGCUCGUAGGCGGUCCGGUAAGUCCGCUGUGAAAGUCGGGGGCUCAACCCUCGGAUGCCGGUGGAUACUGUCGGGCUUGAGUACGGAAGAGGCGAGUGGAAUUCCUGGUGUAGCGGUGAAAUGCGCAGAUAUCAGGAGGAACACCAAUUGCGAAGGCAGCUCGCUGGGACGUUACUGACGCUGAGACGCGAAAGCGUGGGGAGCAAACAGG
rnacentral:rRNA from 1 species